AUUGAACGCUGGCGGCAUGCUUUACACAUGCAAGUCGAACGGCAGCGCGGGCUUCGGCCUGGCGGCGAGUGGCGAACGGGUGAGUAAUGCAUCGGAACGUGCCCAGUAGUGGGGGAUAGCCCGGCGAAAGCCGGAUUAAUACCGCAUACGACCUGAGGGUGCAAGCGGGGGACCGAAAGGCCUCGCGCUAUUGGAGCGGCCGAUGUCGGAUUAGCUAGUUGGUGGGGUAAAGGCUUACCAAGGCGACGAUCCGUAGCUGGUCUGAGAGGACGACCAGCCACACUGGGACUGGGACACGGCCCAGACUCCUACGGGAGGCAGCAGUGGGGAAUUUUGGACAAUGGGGGCAACCCUGAUCCAGCCAUGCCGCGUGCGGGAAGAAGGCCUUCGGGUUGUAAACCGCUUUUGUUCGGGAAGAAAUCCUCUGGGCUAAUACCCCGGGGGGAUGACGGUACCGGAAGAAUAAGCACCGGCUAACUACGUG
rnacentral:rRNA from 1 species